CCGGCGACCGGCGCACGGGUGAGUAACACGUAUGCAACCUGGCCCUCUUCAGGGGGACAACCUUCCGAAAGGGAGGCUAAUCCCGCGUAUAUCGGUUUCGGGCAUCCGAGGAUCGAGGAAAGAUUCAUCGGAAGAGGAUGGGCAUGCGGCGCAUUAGCUAGACGGCGGGGUAACGGCCCACCUAACCGACGAUGCGUAGGGGUUCUGAGAGGAAGGUCCCCCACACUGGUACUGAGACACGGACCAGACUCCUACGGAAGGCAGCAG
rnacentral:rRNA from 1 species